GUGUGCCAGAGCGAAGAAUAACUGAUGGAUUGAAGAACGGCCAUAUUCAAACGGGUGUUGCACGGUGUCAGUAAAUGUCGGCAUAAAAGUGUAAUUAAAUUGUUGCCAGGAGCACAGUUAGUCAACAAAACUCUGGAAGACAUGAAAACAGCCUAACCAGCUCUGCUAGGGCAAGUAAAAUGGUCAGAGUUUGGGUGGGGGCUAAAGCUUAAGAUGUUUCUUAUGGCAUUGCACAGUCAGUGUGAACCAGAGUGACUUGACACAACAACGGGCCAACAUCAGUAGAAAACGCCUGACUCUCCACCAGUCAUACAAAGAGAACAGUCUAAUGCCUGCUGGUGGAAAGCCAUGGCUGGCAACGCCACCUGACUCCGUACCACAGAUCCAGCACUUCAGCUUCGAGGCUCUGGAGCCUGGUGGUGUUGUCGCCAAGGAGCAUUCAGACUGUCAGGACCAGGGUUCAGCUGCUGCGCAACACUGACAUCCUUCCUCCCAUAGAUGGUCUGCCUGUCCAAGCACCACCUGGACUGGGCACAGCUAGACAAACUUAUCUUUGAGAAGAUAAAGCAGUUUUGCAACAAAAAGACUAUGUACAUCACAUGCCCUGCACCAAAGUCAAGGGCAGGACAGAAACAGACUCUCCAAAUGCAACUAUUUUUUAUUCUACUGCUCAGACACUUUACCCCUGAUUGUAUGCAUAUUACUACCUCGUCUAUCACUGAUAUUGAUUACUUUAUUUACACUACCGUUCAAGUUUGGGGUCACUUAGAAAAGUCCUUGUUUUUGAAAAGGCCCCAAAAAAAAAAUUGUCCAUUAAAAUAACAUCAAAUUGAUCAGAAAUACAGUGUAGACAUUGUUGAUGACUAUUGUAGCUGUAAACGACAGACUUUUUAUGGAAUAGCAACACAGGUGUACAGAGGCCCAUUAUCAGCAACCAUCACUCCUGUGUUCCAAUGGCGCUUUGUGUUAGCUAAUCCAAGUUUAUCAU